rnacentral:rRNA from 1 species
CACGUAGGGGGCAAGCGUUGUCCGGAUUUAUUGGGCGUAAAGAGCUCGUAGGUGGUUCGGUAAGUCAGGUGUGAAACCUCCAGGCUCAACCUGGAGACGCCACUUGAUACUGCUGUGACUGGAGUCCGGUAGGGGAGCGUGGAAUUCCUGGUGUAGCGGUGAAAUGCGCAGAUAUCAGGAGGAACACCAGUGGCGAAGGCGGCAUCCUGGACCGGCAUUGACGCUGAGGCGCGAAAGCUAGGGUAGCAAACGGG